AAUAGAUACCCGGGUAGUCCACGCCGUAAACGAUGGAUACUAGCUGUUGGAGGGUAUCGACCCCUUCAGUAGCGAAGCUAACGCGUUAAGUAUCCCGCCUGUGGAGUACGGUCGCAAGACUAAAACAUAAAGGAAUUGACGGGGAUCAGCACAAGCGGUGGAUUAUGUUCUUUAAUUCGAUGAUAACCGAUGAACCUUACCAGGGUUUGACAUCCAGGAAAGCACUACGAAAGUAGAGUGUGCCUUUUGGAAUCCUGUGACAGGUGUUGCAUGGCCGUCGUCAGCUCGUGUCGUGAGAUGUUUGGUUAAGUCCAUCAACGAGCGCAACCCUUGCAAGUAGUUGUAUUUUUCUACUUGGACUGCUCUAGUAAUAGGGAGGAAGGAGGGGAUGAUGUCAGGUCAGUAUUACCCUUACACCCUGGGCUAGAAACAUAAUACAAUGGCCGGUACAAUGCGCAGCGAAGCAGUGAUGUGGAGCAAAUCGCAUCAAAGCCGGUCCCAGUUCGGAUAAGAGGCUGAAACUCGCU
rnacentral:rRNA from 1 species